rnacentral:tRNA from 1 species
UCCCUGGUGGUCCAGUGGCUAAGCCUCCACACUCCCAGUGCAGGGGCCCAGGUUCAAUCCCUGGUCAGGGAA